UACAGAGGGUGCGAGCGUUAAUCGGAAUUACUGGGCGUAAAGCGCGCGUAGGCGGCUUUGCAAGUCGGGUGUGAAAUCCCCAGGCUUAACCUGGGAACUGCAUUCGAGACUGCAUUGCUAGAGUAUGGGAGAGGGAAGUGGAAUUUCCGGUGUAACGGUGAAAUGCGUAGAUAUCGGAAGGAACAUCAGUGGCGAAAGCGACUUCCUGGACCAAUACUGACGCUCAUGUGCGAAAGCGUGGGGAGCAAACAGG
rnacentral:rRNA from 1 species